AUUGAACGCUGGCGGCAGGCCUAACACAUGCAAGUCGAGCGGAGCGGCGGACGGGUGAGUAAUGCCUAGGAAUCUGCCUGGUAGUGGGGGAUAACGUCCGGAAACGGGCGCUAAUACCGCAUACUAUCAGAUAAGCCUAGGUCGGAUUAGCUUGUUGGUGGGGUAAAGGCCUACCAAGGCGACGAACCGUACCUGGACUGCGAGGAUGAUCAGUCAGACUGGAACUGAGACAGGGUCCAGACUCCUACGGGAGGCAGCAGUGGGGAAUAUUGGGCAAUGGGGGAAAGCCGAAUGCAGCAAUGCGGCGUGAGUGAAGAAGGUCUUCGGAUGGGAAAGCACUGUAAGUUGGGAGGCGGUACCAAAAGAAUAAGCACCGGCUAACUACGUGCCAGCAGCCGCGGUAAUUC
rnacentral:rRNA from 1 species